GAGGAAGCCCGGUGAGAUCCCGGCGCGGUCCCGCCACUGUGACCGGGGAGCCCGUCCCCAUGCACGGCCACUGCACCUGAGGUCCGCCUCGGGUGUGGGAAGGCCGGGGACGGACGUCGAUCCGGAAGCCAGGAGACUC
rnacentral:ncRNA from 2 species